GAUAUUCUUUCCCGUAUACCAACCUAUUCACACAAAAUGACUCCAAGUUGGACGAGGAGAAGAAGGCCAUCAUUUCCGAGAGAACUGCCAAGUACUA
rnacentral:misc_RNA from 1 species